GCUUGGAAUGUGAAAAGAAACACAUGUGAACCUUAUAAUUUUCUUAAUAUUCAGCCAUGUGACGAGUUGCUGUUUUAUUUUUCUAGAUACAUUCAAACUUUACAGUUAUGUUUUGUGCAUCAUAUUUGUAUAUAUUCAUUUUGUUUCUCUCUCUCUCUCUCUCUCUCUCUCUCUCUCUCUCUCUCUCUCUCUCUCUCUCUCUCUCUCUAAUACUUUUUCAGCACAUGCGACUUGAAGGCUCCCUUUAUACCCCCUUUUGAAUUCCACCUCACUUAAAAUCUUACCACUUGGGGGAUUUCUCAGCUCAUAUAUAUUUUUUUUAUAAUUUUUCAUAUAAUCUGAGCAAUGGCCAUUCAUUGCAUUUUUUAUCACUGGUCAGUCUUUUAAAUGACAAUUUUUUAUCCCCCAAGUUCUAUCAACUUACAACUCACAUUUCAUUAGUUAUACUACAGUUGAUAGGACAAGUCACGUCGAAUUUCCUGUCAACCACUGUUUCGCAAGCAUCAAUAGUUCGCG
rnacentral:lncRNA from 1 species